ensembl:rRNA 5S_rRNA 5S ribosomal RNA
GUCUAUGGCCAUACCAUUCCAACUAGUCCUAAUCCCAUCUGAUCAUGGGAGCUAAGCGGGACCAGGUGUGGAUGGUACUUGGAUGGGAGAUAGGCGACCACUAUCCAGCUAUUCAAA